CAUGCUCUCUCUUCCUCUUGUCCGUCCCCUUGCCCGCACUCGACCGAGCAUUCCGCUCGUUGGUGCGCCCGUGCCUUCGCGCAACAUCCCUCGUCCCACCUUGUUGCUCGUGUGAUGCUGCCUCUCGCACAGCACACCCACUCCCUCACAUUCUUUCGUCGCAUCCCUCGCCCAGCACGUAUGCCAUACACUACUAGAAAAUCUAUAAUUAACAACAACGUAUUAACAACGAAGUUCAUUUGUAGUCGUUAGAACAAUAGCGCGCUUCUUUAGUACGACCAAGAAAUAAAUUUGUCGUUAAUGGUGAAAAGAAAAAGGGAAAAAGAAAAAAUAAAACAACGUUGUUCGUCGUUGUAUCGAAUUCUAUAGCAUAUCUCUGAUGUUUUAAGCACACUUCAAAAUCCUCUCACCUCUAACCUAAAAGUCUAAAGCCAUCAAUUGAAACUGCUUCUGGAGAUUUAUAUCUACAAAUUUUGAUUUUCAAAUUUAUCUAGCCUCAUCCGUCUUCGAUAUCUUUUCCAAUUUGAGUAAUUUCAUUUCCAUCGUAAUAGGGGUUGAUUUAGGCUCUUGGUUCAAGUGAUUGCUGAAGUUGAGCUGUCAAAUUCUUGAAUCGCAAUAGUCUAGUACUGAUUUUACAGAAAACGCGGGAGAUUAAUUGCGAGUGCAUACGUCGUCGACGGCGGAUUUGAGAGAAAGGACCAGAGAAGCCAAGGAACAAAAAAAAUCCGACUUUGUUAAUAUCGACGUUGAGGCGUUGAGCCGGUUUGGAAUGCUCUUACACAUUAUAAACUUCUGGUUGAUUUUGUACCUAAUCUUGUUUUGUUUGUAGAGUUUCAGCAACGGAAGAUGAGCAUAGAGGUCCAUAUAUCGAUGAGCAGAGAAGGAGUAAGCGGAUGAGCAAGAUAAGGCAUUUAAGGAACCUUAUUCAUCUCUGUGUUUCAUUUAAACGGUUUUGACCCUUUUCAUAUUUUAAUGAGUUACAAAAGUUAGAUGUCAAUUUUUUUUAGUUGACUCUAUUUAAUCCCUUAUAAUAGUAAUAAUAUCAUGUGUGGUAUGUGUACACUAUUUUUUGACUGAGCAUGUGUGCGUGGCCAGAGGUAAGUGCGACAUAGUGCGGGUCUGUAAAAUUCUUUUUUAGUCACAGAUAUUGCAUGCUAACUGUCUUUUUUCUAGAGUAAAUGAUAUAUUAAAAAUAAGAGAUGAAAUAUGGUUAUUUUCUUCUCCUGCUAAUUACAUUAGAGGCAAUGGUCCAAUAUCUUCUGGAUAGACGUUCAUCAGGUUCAUUACUUCUCUUGUGUUCUAGCGUGAAUAGUCACUAACAGCUGCAGACUGAUGCUGGUUGUUUGCCUAUUUGUGAGAAAAUAGGGGUGAAAAACUUGGACACAGUACCUCAAUUUACACUUUGACGUAGCCAGUUGACCAGAUUAGAUAGCCCUUCGGUUAGCAUUUGUGGAGGAAACUUUGUUCAUUAGCCUGACCUAAGUGUUCUGGUUCAAAUUAGUUUACAAGCUUUUGCAGGUUGAUAAAGACGUGAAGAAAUCAGACUCUGAAUUUUCCUUCCUUGGAAUUGCGAGUAGUUAAACUAUUUGAUACUCCAUAAUUCUUUGCAGAUUGACACUAAAUUUAUGGAAGUGAUGACAUUCAGAGAACACCACGUGGCAUUUUUUUUUAGAAGUUGGAUCUAUUCUUCGUCUGUCUGCUGCUACAACGCCUGUGCUUUAAAAUCCAAGUUUAGGGAACAGAACCUGCAGCAACUUAGUGGAUGCCCUUCCAAGAAUAUGCAAUGCAAUCUUUUGUUCAGAGAUAUGAGAUAUGAGCUCCAGAGGUAUAUGGUUAAAAUUUGCAACACAAGAAUGGAGGGUCAGUAUUCAAGAUUUCCGGCCAGCCGUGGCUAUCAAACCAAGCUUUAGAGAUGGACGCUAAUUCAUGUACUUCAAUAAUCAGGCUUUCAAAUGAGAUACAUAACUAACUAUGUACAACAUAUAUAAAAUAUCGUACACUGGAUAUGCACAUCAUUACACUAGAAUAUAUUAAAGGGUGUCAUUACUUAAUGACACUCAAGAGAACAUUUCAACUAGUUAGAUUUUACGGUUUUUUCAUGAAAUGCCCUCGAGGUUUGCAAAAAUGCAACAAAUACCCUCGCGUGUUUCGAUUCACAUAACAUACCCCUAUUUUUUCGUACUGUUCAUGAGAUGCACUUGGAGCUAACGGACGUUAGUCUACCGUUAGUUGCAAUUUACCAUUUUGCCCUUAAUGAUGUUUUUCGACAUAAAUUCCAAAAAAAUCUCAAACUUCUUAUCUUUCUCUCUCCUCUCCCCUGUUCUUCCUCUUUCUCUCUCCUCUCCCCUGUUCUCUGGUCGGCGGUGGUCGAUCUCCUUCGCGCGCCACCGCAAUGUUCUUCGGUGUAGAUCGAGAUCCUUCACGCGCCAUCAAAUUUAAAUGGAUUGUUCUUGAAUUCACUCCUCCCUCAAUUCUUAAUUGUGCUCUCUACCAUUGUUGACCAAGGUUGGAAGCUUUAACCGUGAUGACAAUGCCGCACCUGCUGCAAGAAUGGGUUUAGAUCAGAGAAGAAAGGUCGGGAAUGGAGAAAAACAAGACUGCAGAAGAGAAAUUAAAGGGAAAUCGUAUUGAUAACCAACCAAUGAAACCAGCUUGCAUUCGAGAGGCUAGACUAUCCCAACCACAAAGCUGCUAAAACAUGAUUUCUGAAUGGAUCACUUCUCUUUUAUCUCCUCUUGUAAUUACAUUUCUCAGUGGCAUACAAGCUGACUUUCCAAUCCCCAUAGUGAUGCUACAUUGCUAGCAGCAGCAAUGUCUCCUCUUUUUCUUUUGUUUCUUUUCCUUGCAUUCACGCCAAGUGCAUCCAGCCUUCCAGGUAGGGCAAUACGCAGAGUGAAUAAAGAUUUUCAAAGCCUCCUAACAGGGGAUGUAAUAAAGCACUCUUAAACGCUAUAUAAAUCUUGUUAUUCCACAAUUUUAUUUGAUUAUUACUUAUAUUUCUGUUUUAGGUUUAACUUUUAGGUUGAUUAAAUUGAUUUAGGUGAACGAUUUGUGGAAAUCAAAUUCUGCAGUUUAAAAGCAGUUUGGGUAUUUGGUGCAACUUAGUUUCAAAAUAGGUGUAUUUUGUGAAUUAUAAACACAACUUAACGGAGGACUAACGGAAAGUCGGUUUAGGGGUAUUUGGUGCAAACUUGGGAAAAAAUAGGGGUAUAUUAUGUGAUUCAAAAGACGCGAGGGUAUUUGGUGCGUUUUUGCAAACCUCAAGGGCAUUUCAUGAAAAAACCGUAGAUUUUAUUUUGUUCUUUUAGAUUAAACAAGAAUUACUUAUCUUUUAUUUUUUUUGAAUUUAAAGAUGAGUGUUGUGAUUUUUGGUUUCACAUAACUUGAAAUUCAAAUGUCAAUAAUCUUUCAAGUAAUGAAAUUUUCAUUUGUUUUAA